rnacentral:rRNA from 1 species
AUUGAACGCUGGCGGCAUGCCUUACACAUGCAAGUCGAACGGUAACAGGUCUUCGGAUGCUGACGAGUGGCGAACGGGUGAGUAAUACAUCGGAACGUGCCCGAUCGUGGGGGAUAACGAAGCGAAAGCUUUGCUAAUACCGCAUAAGAUCUACGGAUGAAAGCAGGGGACCGCAAGGCCUUGCGCGAACGGAGCGGCCGAUGGCAGAUUAGGUAGUUGGUGGGAUAAAAGCUUACCAAGCCGACGAUCUGUAGCUGGUCUGAGAGGACGACCAGCCACCCUGGGACUGAGACACGGCCCAGACUCCUACGGGAGGCAGCAGUGGGGAAUUCUGGACAAUGGGCGAAAGCCUGAUCCAGCCAUGCCGCGUGCAGGAUGAAGGCCUUCGGGCUGUAAACUGCUUUUGUACGGAACGAAAAGACUCUUUCUAAUAAAGAGGGUCCAUGACGGUACCGUAAGAAUAAGCACCGGCUAACUACGUGCCAGCCGCCGCAGUAA